UACGUAGGGUGCGAGCGUUGUCCGGAAUUACUGGGCGUAAAGAGCUCGUAGGCGGUUUGUCGCGUCUGCUGUGAAAACCUAAGGCUCAACCUUGGGCUUGCAGUGGGUACGGGCAGACUAGAGUGCGGUAGGGGUGACUGGAAUUCCUGGUGUAGCGGUGGAAUGCGCAGAUAUCAGGAGGAACACCGAUGGCGAAGGCAGGUCACUGGGCCGCAACUGACG
rnacentral:rRNA from 1 species